AUGCUUGCUUUGACAGGACAUAUACUAUAUUUUCAAUGACACAGAGAAGAAUAGCUUGGACCCUGUACAAGGACAACACUUAUGCAUGUGAAGCUUUCCUUAUUUUU
rnacentral:snRNA from 1 species